rnacentral:rRNA from 1 species
UUAUGAAUAAGGAUCGGCUAACUCCGUGCCAGCAGCCGCGGUAAUACGGAGGAUCCGAGCGUUAUCCGGAUUUAUUGGGUUUAAAGGGAGCGUAGAUGGAUGUUUAAGUCAGUUGUGAAAGUUUGCGGCUCAACCGUAAAAUUGCAGUUGAUACUGGCUGUCUUGAGUACAGUAGAGGUGGGCGGAAUUCGUGGUGUAGCGGUGAAAUGCUUAGAUAUCACGAAGAACUCCGAUUGCGAAGGCAGCCUGCUAAGCUGCAACUGACAUUGAGGCUCGAAAGUGUGGGUAUCAAACAGGAUUAGAUACCCUGGUAGUCCACACGGUAAACGAUGAAUACUCGCUGUUUGCGAUAUACGGCAAGCGGCCAAGCGAAAGCGUUAAGUAUUCCACCUGGGGAGUACGCCGGCAACGGUGAAACUCAAAGGAAUUGACGGGGGCCCGCACAAGCGGAGGAACAUGUGGUUUAAUUCGAUGAUACGCGAGGAACCUUACCCGGGUUUGAACGCAUUCGGACCGAGGUGGAAACACCUUUUCUAGCAAUAGCCGUUUGCGAGGUGCUGCAUGGUUGUCGUCAGCUCGUGCCGUGAGGUGUCGGCUUAAGUGCCAUAACGAGCGCAACCCUUGUUGUCAGUUACUAACAGGUGAUGCUGAGGACUCUGACAAGACUGCCAUCGUAAGAUGUGAGGAAGGUGGGGAUGACGUCAAAUCAGCACGGCCCUUACGUCCGGGGCUACACACGUGUUACAAUGGGGGGUACAGAGGGCCGCUACCACGCGAGUGGAUGCCAAUCCCUAAAACCCCUCUCAGUUCGGACUGGAGUCUGCAACCCGACUCCACGAAGCUGGAUUCGCUAGUAAUCGCGCAUCAGCCACGGCGCGGUGAAUACGUUCCCGGGCCUUGUACACACCGCCCGUCAAGCCAUGGGAGCCGGGGGUACCUGAAGUGCGUAACCGCGAGGAUCGCCCUAGGGUAAAACUGGUGACUGGGGCUAAGUCGUAACAAGGUAGCCGUACCGGAAGGUGCGGCUG